GCAGCCGCGGUAAUACGGGGGAUGCAAGCGUUAUCCGGAUUUAUUGGGUUUAAAGGGUGCGUAGGCGGUCUGGUAAGUCAGCGGUGAAAUUUCCGAGCUCAACUUGGAACGUGCCGUUGAUACUGCUGGACUAGAAUGCGGAUGCCGUGGGAGGAAUGUGUGGUGUAGCGGUGAAAUGCAUAGAUAUCACACAGAACACCGAUUGCGAAGGCAUCUCACGAAUCCGCGAUUGACGCUGAGGCACGAAAGCGUGGGGAUCAAACAGGAUUAGAUACCCC
rnacentral:rRNA from 1 species